rnacentral:rRNA from 1 species
AGAACGAACGCUGGCGGCAUGCCUAACACAUGCAAGUCGAACGCUCUUGGGGCUUCGGUCUCAGGGGAGUGGCGCACGGGUGAGUAGCGCGUGGGAACCUGCCCUGUUGUGGGGGAUAACCGAGGGAAACUUCGGCUAAUACCGCAUAAGCCGGUUGUCUUGAAGGAGAUGGCCGGGAAAGAUUUAUCGCGACAGGAGGGGCCCGCGUCGGAUUAGCUAGUUGGUGGGGUAACGGCCCACCAAGGCGGUGAUCCGUAGCUGGUCUGAGAGGAUGAUCAGCCACACUGGGACUGAGACACGGCCCAGACUCCUACGGGAGGCAGCAGUGGGGAAUAUUGGACAAUGGGCGCAAGCCUGAUCCAGCAAUGCCGCGUGAGUGAUGAAGGCCUUAGGGUUGUAAAGCUCUUUCGCCCGCGACGAUGAUGACGGUAGCGGGAGAAGAAGCCCGGCUAACUUCGUGCCAGCAGCCGCGGUAA